rnacentral:rRNA from 1 species
UACAGAGGGGGCAAGCGUUGUUCGGAAUUACUGGGCGUAAAGGGCGCGUAGGCGGCCUGUUAAGUCGAACGUGAAAUCCCCGGGCUCAACCCGGGAACUGCGUCCGAUACUGGCAGGCUUGAAUUCGGGAGAGGGAUGCAGAAUUCCAGGUGUAGCGGUGAAAUGCGUAGAUAUCUGGAGGAAUACCGGUGGCGAAGGCGGCAUCCUGGACCGACAUUGACGCUGAGGAGCGAAAGCUAGGGGAGCAAACGGG